rnacentral:lncRNA from 1 species
UACAAAUUUAAUUUGUAGACCUUUUUUAAGACUUAAAAAUUUAUUUCAGCAACCUACAAUAGCAAAAAAUUUAGAAAAAAUUUCAAAUACCACUCAUGUGGUUUAGCACUUUUUUAUUUUAAUAUCCUGUGAUUUAAAGUGUAUCAAUUUAGUACCCCGUAUUUUUAUUUUUAUUUUUCUAUUAUCUCGUUCAUCAAUUUUUUUUCGUUAAAUCAGUGACAAAGUUAAAACUAAAAGAUACUAAAGUAAAUAUUCGAUAAAUCUAAGUAGGGUAUUUGAAACUUUUUGUAUAUAAUUUUACGAAAUGUGAUCAGAAGAGCCGACAAAAAGAGAAAAAUGAAACCACAUAUUACUAAAUUGAUAUACUUUAAAUCAUAGGGUACUAAAAUAAAAAAAAUGUAAAAUCAUAUGGGUAUUUGAAAUUUACCAAAAAAAUUUAUAAUUAG